rnacentral:rRNA from 1 species
GACGAACGCUGGCGGCGUGCUUAACACAUGCAAGUCGAACGAUGAAAGCGGGAGCUUGCUCCUGCUGGAUUAGUGGCGAACGGGUGAGUAACACGUGAGCAAUCUGCCCCGAACUCUGGGAUAAGCGUUGGAAACGACGUCUAAUACCGGAUACGACGCGCGAAGGCAUCUUCUGCGCGUGGAAAGAAUUUCGGUUCGGGAUGAGCUCGCGGCCUAUCAGCUAGUUGGUGAGGUAAUGGCUCACCACGGCGACGACGGGUAGCCGGCCUGAGAGGGUGACCGGCCACACUGGGACUGAGACACGGCCCAGACUCCUACGGGAGGCAGCAGUGGGGAAUAUUGCACAAUGGGCGCAAGCCUGAUGCAGC